CAGAGCUGCUGCUUUCUACAUUAUCGCAACUGCCAGAGCUCUUAGUGCUGCAGUUUUCUAGUCGCAGUGCGGCAAAGCAGACGCAUAGACCCAGGCACAAAGCAGCAUAGAUUUUUUAUUCUCAUCUUUUUUUUUUUUUGUCCGAGAGACGUUUUCCUGGUGUUAGCGCAGAAGCAGACAUGCAGCCUGGAUAUGCUGGCUCCAGCCUGGCAGCUCUUUCGGCUGAGCAGGGACUGUGUGGAGCUCGGUGCCCACGCUGCCGCUGAGGAAGAAAGCUGCUCUCCCACUCUGUGCCGUGACGAUACACCUGCAGCCACAAGACCGUGGAGAUGGCGGCACUUGUCUCUGUUUGCCUGACUGGGGCCUUUGCAGGUGCUCCUCUUCCGAAGCUGUGCUGGCGUUCCAGGGCCGUGCAGAUGGGUAAUACAAUUUGCUGCAGUUUCUUACAUCAGUGUAGCAAAGCUCAAGCGAACAACCAGACUCUGACCUAAAUCAGUCCCAGUUCUUCGGGAUACAGGGCAGCAGGCGACUGGCAGUGAUACAAUCAGCCAUCAAGUGGAGAGGCUCUGGGACUGCAAUCUGUAUGGGUUGGAGUCUGUGAGAAUGAAACAGUUCCCGUUAUCCGGUCGCUUCUCCUUCUAAUAAUACAAUUGCUACAACUGCUACUACUACCGCAUCUGUUUCUCCAUGCCUGAAAGAAGCUGCUCCUUGCGCCCUCUCUGUGUGGGUAUUUGCGCAGAUUAGUCUGUUGGUAAUGCAGCCCUUAUCUGCUUCUGCUGGAAACCAGGGCACGAAGUCAGCCUGCCUUAACAGUUGUUUCUUUCUGCGUGAUGCUAUGCAGCUAGAAUGGGUUACGCUGACAACAAAGGAGCCAGCACAAAGCAUCACUUUAUUUGCUGGACUGCUACAGGAACCCGACUCUUCUUCGCUACGAAGCCCUGUUCUCUUCCCUUUUUGUUUUUUGUUUUUUGUUUUUUUUAUGUAAUUCAUCUAAUUGAAGAGCCUAACAGACACCAUCGUGGAUGUGGGUUUUAAUGAUUUGGAAAAGACAGCCUGUGGAGACUGCGAUUGGAGACUGCAACACGCUUAGGUUAUUGCCAAUUUGAAAUACUUGGUUUGUGAAGCACAGCCCUAAGGGACAAGCGCAGUAACUGAGAGAGAGAUCGUAGAUAAAGAAAUAAAAAUGACAAGCAUAAUGGAGGCUCUGCAAGAAACUGUCAGGGAAUCAGUUCAUGGAUGGCAAUUUCACCAGUCUGAAUCUGAAUAAUUCAUAGAUUGAAAUUACCCUGCUUUCACCUUUCCAUUUAAACUGGCAUGAUCUGAAUCUCUAAUAAAUUUUCAAGAUAAAGUAAAAUGCCAAUUUGAAUCUGAAGAGCUUUUAAAACCAAAUGCUACACCCUGAGUCUUUCGAUACCUUUCACAAUUAUCCUGUGAGAGCCGCACUUCAUCACGAAGCACCAUUACCAGUGAAAAUUACGGUGAUUACAAUAGCAACAAUAGAAUACCGUCAAAUGAUCUCCAAUUUACCUAAUUUACCAAGGUUGACUGUGUGCCCAUUGUGCUUCACUACGUCUGGCAUUGGAUCAAUAUCACAGAGGAAGAAAAAUGCCUUAGUAUAUGCUUCCUUUUGGUGCCUUUAACUUUGACAGCACAGGAAAAUCUAUCUCCUGUUAAAUGUUUUUACAGCCCAUCUGCAUGCCUGCCAUAGGAUCUGAUUGAUUCUCCAUCAUUUUCUUUGGUUGCUGAGUAUUGGAUGUUAUUGUGUUACUAAUUUGUUUAUAACGUGUACUCCUGCACAAAGACUGCAGCAAACGAGUAACAGCACAGCGACUGCGCUGCUGCAGCAGUAGCACUGCACUCUCUCGCAGGGGAAGCCAAAAUGAGUUUGGUGCCUUAUGUGAAUAAUCACUUGCAUCUGGGUUAUAAAUGCUUCCAAACAUCACUCAUCUUGGUUGCACGACAUGAGAAAUGUGUGCAAAAGUCGUGGUCAAGGGAAAUGGUUAUCUGUAAUCCUAACAAGAUUUCCCCCCUAUCCAGCAAUCAGUAUGAGGCUGUGAGAGAUAAGCUGUGACUCUUUCUUUAAAUGUGUGUGUGUACAUACGCAUGCACGUACAUAGGAGGUAAGGAUAGUAUGCGUUGUGAUUACGUGCUGAUCAGUGAAAGCCACAUUUCUCUGACAAGCCAGGCACAGUGUUUUGCCACAAUCUGCUCAGUUGUAACAAAUCCCGGUUUUGGAGUUUAUAUUUUCUAUAGGACAAUACGUGACUUCUGGAACAGUAAGUACCAUUUAUCCAGCAUGCCGGUGCCUGUAGCAAUGCCACGGAAUGGUAUUUUAAGCAUAGUUUGACUACAGUGUGGAUAAGUAAGAAACAUGCACAUAAGGCUACAACAGGCAUUCCUCCUGGAGAAGACUGUGUCCGUUGUCUGUAUGUGUGUGAGUUGUCCACAUCAAUCUUGUUUCUUCUUUUAUGACCAGAUUUACUCUGCCCCCAUGAAGUAUUUGCUAAGGAAGGUAAGCAAUAUUUCUUCUUACUUGUAUGGCUGUGUUGUAUUUCUUUGGGGAAAAUGCAUGUUUAUAGCACAUAGUUAUAUAACACGGAGUGAUUUCAUGACAUCUAAUUAGGUAUUUCAGUAUCUGUUCACCUUAGAUCUGGACAAGAAAGGCUAUCUAAAAUAUGUUAUUUUUUUAAUUCAGAAAACACUUAUAGAAUUGCUACACAAAAAUAAUUGGUUUCUUACUCAGCUUUGACUGUAACAUUAUCAGAUAAGAGCCUAUUAUAUGUGAAUAAUAAUAUUAUUUAAGCCUUUGGAUUGCAGAUAUUCUGUCUUUUAAAGCACUGUUUCUUGCAUUUCUAAAUUUCUUGUACAUGAGUGAAAACUGUUCUCCAGAGCUAUAAGAGGCAGAAGGUUUUUCUACAGCUUCAGCUGUGAUAACAAAGGAAUUUGAAAGGGCACAAAAUUUGAUUACAGAAAAAAUCUUGAAUGUUAGAUUAUUAAUUAAGGUGAUUUAGCAGACAGUUUUUCUUAGACAGCAUACUUUGAAGUUACUGCUCUAUCUGGAAUUAAGUAGUCCAUUCAGUGCCAUAUUUAUGUUCUUCAUAAUCCCAUGGUAUCCACAACUUAACAAAGAAAAAUUCUUCCACACAGCAAAGAGUGAAACUCUGGUGAAAGUGUAAAACCAGCGUUAUGUUACUGUAUUAAUAAACCCAAAGGAUUCAUACCAAAUUUUUCAGAAUGUAACUAGAUGUUUUGGUUCAGUUGUUUCAUGAUGAGUAUUUCAUGGUUUUGUGUACGCAAAUAUAACACACACUGGUAUAACUGCUAUAGAAUCAUGCAAACAAGACUUUGAGUGCAAAGUUCUGCUAUUGUUUAUUUGAUUAUAAUUAUUACCAUAUUCACGUAGCCUCAUAUACUGUUUUGACAUUAGGGUCUGUUAACCAUUUUGGUUCUAUAGAGUCCUUAAGUUCAGAUUUUUUUAUCAGUCUUAUCUGCUGUGACAGUCAGCAGAAAGUGGCUUGUCAUGGGGUGCUGGAUGUCCUCAUUAGCAGCUGCAUAACAGAAUUAGCACAGAGUUUAAAUGCUCUUGAAGUCUUCAUCUCAGGGCCUGAUACCAAUUGUACUCUGAUUCACUUUGGAGUCUCCUAACCCACUCUGUAUUACUGAAUUCUUAGUGUGCCAUUGGCUUUCUCCCACUGCUCCACACUGGCCUCAUGUUUCAAAACAUGCAGUGCUGGCCAAGCCUGUUGCUGUCUGUCAGUGUAAGUGCCCAGAGGAUGUAGGAGAGUGCCCUCAGAGGUGAGGUCAGCUGUGAAGGUCACUCUGUUCCAAAGUACUCUGAAAAAGAUGGAGAACCUCAGCAAGUAAGCCCUGUAUUUUGGGCUGGUGGAUGUUUCAAAGAAGACAGUCUGCAAAUAUAAUAGACUGUGCAAUCUAACGAGGAUUGAAAACAUUAAAAAGUUUUCAACCAUGGGAAUCACAAAGUGAAUAUUUGUGAUAUAAACCCAUAAAAAGCAUAAAACCCGUAUAGUAUAGCCAACUGCAUAAUGAAUGUAUUUCCUGAUAUGUCUAUAGCUAAUUGGGUGCAGCUACAGCUGAAGAGCUUAAGCUAUAUAAUUCAUUGUCUGUGGUGAAAUAAAUGGCAGAACCUACAAUAUUAAACUUCUAACACAAAGCCACUAAUUCUAACAACUGUGAUUCAACAGUUAAUCUACAUUAUAUUGCAAGAUGUAUUAGUCUGAUUUUGUGCUUGUGUUUUGGUUGUGUUUUACAUGUCUAUAAAUUAUUCUGCAAAAUUAGGGCCAAACCAGUUCUUCACGUGAGUUUCCAAUUAAACACAAUUAUUAACUUGAGUAAAAUUCCUUCAGUGUGUUCUGCUGGACCCACACCCUCACCUACGUCUAGACAAUGAUCACUGUUCAGUCACACACAUGAAAAAUCUAUUGGAGCCCAUUUUUCUACCAAUAAGUUCAUGGCAAGAGUUCAUGUGCCACUGACAUAAAAAAAAAAAGUGUUAAUUCAUUUUCUUCUUGUUUAACUAUAAGAGCCUAGUCCAGUAUAUUUGACAUAAUGCUGAACCAAAGAUGUUUUCUAUUCACUAGGACACUUGAACCAGCAAUGCAGGAUUGGUUUAUUCACAAAUGGAAGGGACCUUCUUGACUGUAGUUUUGAUGAUGAUAUUUGUGCUCACUAGGUCAGCAAUUCUGCAUUCUUAUUAGCUACUUUAAAACAUAUAGGUUCUGAUCUGUAAUGGUUGCAUAUGUUUGGACGAAAGCCCUGAGAGUAGGAGAGCCCACCAUGUUUUCUUUGUUUUCCAUCUUACAGUUUCUUUGAAUUAAUUGUAGCUGUCUAUGGAAAUAUGAUCCCCUGAGAAUACAGAGAGAUGCAUUAUUGAUAGCUAUGUACAAAGCUUCUCCAGAUUCCUGUGCACUCUGUCUGCUGUGAAAUUCACACCAUUAUUCCUAGACAAAAAUCUUAGGAAUAAAGUAAGAGUGAAGUAACUUAAAAGAAUAACAACAGCAUUUCCAAACCAUCAACUUCAAUGCAGAAAGCUCAGUGUUAAACAGAACAAAAUCCAAAUGAAUUCAUAAAUACAUUUGAAAUACCUAGACAUUUUACCAACUUUUUAGUUCUAUAUGAUAGCCAUGGGAUGUGAGGGAUGUAAACAAUAUUGCUAGUUAAGUUUAUAUUAUAAAUAACAUAGAAAAAAACCCUUGGCUCUAAAAUAGGUGCAUCACUUCUCACAGCAUCUGUGCACUUUCUUUAUGAGCUAUGAAUGUAGACUUGCUCUGUGCUUUUAUCUACACUCCUGCAAUGUUAUCAAAAGUUCUGAAAAUGGAACGAUUUCUGGCUGACAGAAUGUGCAAAGUAGAUGGGAAUUGCAGUGAAGGUAAUAGUUUUCUCAGUUCUCAUACCAUCAGAGCUUAUUGUGCAUUCAAAUCAAGUUAAACUCCUAAUUACGUUGGAAUUUUUCAUAAUGAACAGAGAAUUAAGAAUAGAGUUCAAAAUAUGGACCUACGAGUGCCUGAAAACUUGGCUUUUUUUCCCCAAAUAUUUCUAACGCUAUUUCUGUCACAGGUGUUGUCUUGAAUGUUACCAACAAAUUGUACGCAAUUUGUAUAUUAUUUGCAACAGUAUACCACAUCUGUAGCUAGACAUGGAUAGCUAGAACAUACACUAUGAAUUAGCCCCGGUGGAAAAUACCAAAUUGGGAAAUGCAGUUAUUAAAAUUAAAAAAAAAAAAAAAAAAAAAAAAAAAAAACAAUAAAAAUGGAACAACCACCAACUCCCCCAACUCCAAAUUUGAUUUUAUUUACCUAUAGGAUUGUCAUUCUACUAUUCAUUUACACUCAGUAUUUUACAGAAAUUGUGCAGUACUGAAUGUAGGGUUGAGUUAUGUGCCGUUACACUCAGUGAAACAUUCAAUCGGAAAGGCUUUUCUCCUACUCAUUCAUUUCUGUUCCUUCUGCCACCUGUAUUCAUUCAAAAUGUGUCUCCAGCAGUGAGUCAUUCCUCUGACCUGCAGGUAGUGAAAGGUUCUGAGAAACUUUACGUAGCCUGGGGAAUUCAUGUAAUUGCCAAAAGUGGGAACUGUCUGGUUGAUUGUCUAGGGGAAAAAGAGGCAUGCUGAGGGACUUGGAGGAUGGGAGACAACUCAUCUACUGCACACUUCUGAAGGGAUGUGAGGGGAGGGGAGGCCUUAUUGCUCUCUUCCAAUGUCUGAAGGGUGUUUACAGCAAGAGCCGGGUUGGUCCCUUCUCACUGGUGACAGGUGACAGGAGGAGGGGAAAUGGCCUCAAGUUGAGCCAGGGUAAGCUUAGGUUGGAUAUCAGGAAAAACUUCUUUACUGAAAGGGUUGCUAAUCACUGGAAUAGGCUCCCCAAGGAGGUGGUUGAGUGACCAUCCCUGGAUGUGUUUAAAAACCGUUUGGAUGUGGUGCUCAGGAACAUGAUUUAGCGGAGGGUUGUUAGAGUUAGGGUAGUAUGGUUAGGUUGUGGUUGGAAUUGAUCUUGAAGGUUUUUCCAACCUGAGCAAUUCUAUGAUUCUAUGAUUCUUCUGACUUCAACACUAAAACAAGAAGAAAAAAAUAAAACAGGAAAAAAGAUCAUUAUAGAGUACUUAAAGUGUAAGUACGUCUUUAAUUUCUAUGUCAUCACAGGCAGCUCUUCUGUAAACCUGUCAUAUUCCCUAAAAAAUUCAACUUGUCAAUCAAUACUGAGAUGGGAGUACAGUUUCCGUGACCCAGUGUACUGUUUGUUGACAUGUACAUUCAUGCACAGCGAUAUAACUACAUAUGCCCUAGCACAGUAAUACCUAUAAGUAGGCCACACAUUUCAUAUCAUCCUAAGCAACUAUGUCCCAUUUACAGGGGCAAGCAAAAGUACUAUUUUUGCCUUUCCUCUAAGUGAUGUAGGAUACCUAGUAUUAUGCACAGAGUCAGCAUGGAUUAUUGCAGUUCUUUUUCUAAAAUGGAAUCAUUUUCUUCAAAUCAGUCUGGAUCAAACUUAUCACCUACCUGUUCCCUAGGGACAGUUUUGCAAACUAACUGGCCUGAGCUGGUUACGAAUUGCAUACGGUUUCAGCUUUCUUGACUUUCAGUGUUUGUUUUAGUAUAUUUAGGAGUUAAAGUGUGUCCUCUCCUCUGCCACAGACCUUGGUUCUAGGCAACCACUUAAAAUGGACCUUUUUAUGAGCUGCACUUCAUAUCCUGAAUGCUUGACAAUUGGGUCUGGCUUGCUGAAGUGCUGAGUUCUCUCAACUGUAGCAGACCAAUGUAAAACACAUUCUCUGUGGUAUGCCUGGAAUUGUCUCAAACACCUAACAAGAUGAGACCAUAGCCAUAACAAUAGGCUGCAAGCUGAAGACAUGGUUGGAGAAGGGAACCCUGUGGAGGAGAGGUGACCUUGCUCUGUCCAAAUCUCCCAUGUUCACUGUAGAAUUUUUGACUGCAAACUUGUUUGUGGUGAUCUUUUUGAUGACAAAUCACAUAAGUCUAGCAGGCAUAGCAUAAAAAGAUGCCUAAGAGAAGAUCUGGGGGGAGCUGAAACUUCAGUACUUUGGAACUUCUGGACAAAUGUUCUCACAGACUGAGGAAACCCCAAUUGUCCUAUUGCCUGGACAAGUGCUGGAACGUGGACUGGUGAUUUCUUUUACCAUCCAUCCCUCUGUCUCCCCCCAACACCCUCCAGCUCUCUCUCUUCUUUCUUUUUCCCACAUAAAGUUGUUAUGUAAUGCAAGGCUUAUUUUGAUUUCUUAUGAAGUCACACACUUUGCUGCACAGCUUAGAUAGAUAUAACUGUAAGAGUGCCAGUCUUCAAAGAUAAUCAUAGUACAGAGAUUCUCAUUAAAAUUGAUGACUGUGUUUGGACCUUGAGUAUCAUUUUACCUUAAUCUAGCCAGAUGGAAUUUAUGAAUCUGGUCACCCUUCCCGCUCUUCGUAGAUGGGAUGUGACAUCUUAAUUUGGCAGAGUUGGCAGGAUCUCCUUGAAAGGUCUGGAGGCCACCUUUCAGCUACACACCAGGAAGGCUAUAAACUAGGAGAGGUGUGAGGGAUACUGAUGUUCCACCUCAUAAGUGCAGGCAGGGAGUGUCAGGAAGCGACCACUCAGCUGUACACCAGGAAGGCUAUACUCUGGAAGAGGUACAAGCAGUGGCAAGACAUAGCUGCCCCAGGAAAAGCCAGUGCUUAACUGCUCUCCUGUUACUGAAAUGUUGGAAAAGUGUAAUGCAUGUCCUUCCUACUGGAAAUGACUUGGAUUCAGAGCAAUUGUCAUGGUCCUAGUGCUGUAGCAGAAAGAAUUGCAACCGUUCCUAAGGAACAGAAAAUGUGGUUGGGAAAAGAAAAAGCCAUGGUGUGUGCUAUCUUAGGAGUGGUUCUGAUGGUACCUCAAAAGGAUAAGUAUUUCAACAGACAAGCAGAAGGGGAAAUAAAUAGGUUCCUACAGGAUUUGGUGAAAAAGUUGCAGGAUCAAUUAGGCACAGAACAUAAGAGCAGUGAGUGUCUGCACACAGCCUUGUGUGACACACUAGAUCUGGGAAAAAAAUCUGCAGUCUAAAUUAGAAGAAAAGGAACAAGAGAUAGAUCUUAACUUAGUCUCAGGAAGCAAAGCAGGAUUUUUGAAUUUGGUCAAAUAACUGAUAAGCAGCGGCUUGAUUCAGGAACUCUAUACCUAAUUAAGGAGUUAGAAAUGAGUCAGGAGUUAUUUUACCUUGAGAAUGAGGAGGGAAUUAUGAGGUCUUUGGUAAAACAGAGAAGACUGAUAGUGGCCAGUGUGGAUAGGCCCUGCAGGUGAUUACCUGAAUGGUGCAGUACACAGAAGCCAAGAUGUUAAAAAUUCAGGAGAAAUACAAGUUAGCUGAGACAGAAAACAAGACAUAAUAUGAAUGGAAAGUAUCACUGAGUAGAAGAGAUCAACUCUUGUUAUCAGAAGGUGAGGCACAGGGAUAUUGGGGGCCUGGAGUUUUUUUCAUAAUUAUCAGUGAUCCAGCAGAACCCUGGUCAUUAACCCAACAGGCUUCUUCUUAGACUGGAGAGUUGGAUCCCUUGAAAAAGGGAGAUCCAGUGGAUAUUGAGAUCCUACUGUAAAUCAUUUUACAAGAUGUGUGCAAAAGGAAGCUUGUCUCCAAGUGAUGCAUGAUAGGCAUUUAAUCCAGCAAUAGCCUUCUCCUUUGUUAUUAGUAGUCAAUCCCAAUAGAAUGACACUCCUGAUCUGGAGUCUGCCAGACUCUCUGAAGUUAUAUGCAGUUCACUGCACUGUCCCCAUGAGCUGGAUGAGGGAGAUAGGGAAACUGAAGAAAGUCCAUGAUCUGGGCUCAGAAAAUGAUAAAUGAUGGAAGAAGGAUGGGAACUGUGGGGAGUGUCACAGGAAAAUCCUGUAGUAAGUUUGUAUUCCCAUUGUCAGUGCUAUGUGUGCAAAACCAUGAGCAGGUACUCUCGGAAAUGAGGAAAAAAAAGACUGAAUUCCUGCUCAAUAGUGGGUUUGUCUUCAGCACAGAGGAAGUUUGGUGCCACAUGCUGUUAGCAGUUCUGUAUCUCAACAUUUGCCUCCUUCUGUGUACCAGCUUUCUUGUCACAAUCCCUCUGCUCGCUCAACCCACCUUCGCUGGGCUUCCUCAGAUCCUUCCCAAUACCUCUGUGUCACUACCACUGCAUUCCAAGUCUUUGGAUGGUCAAUCCUAAUUGACCAGCAACCACAAAAAAAUGUUGAGCUUUUGUUUUUUUUGUUUCCCAGGGAGAAUGCCUCCUUUGUUGUUCCCCAUCUGAUGCAAAUGCUCCAUGUGGAAAGUACUAAUAUAAUGAAGUCUGGUACUAUUGCAGGCAGCACAGAACAAGGUCAUGGUGAGAAACACUAAGCUUUAACGGAAGUUAGUGUUACCUGCAUACUCUUUCUGUGCCUAUGCCACAUACAGAUUUGUAUGUGCAUACCUCCAUAUUACUGGGAAAAUAAGGACUUUAUUAUGAAUUUCUUUUCCUUAAGAGCAUUAAGAAUAACCUCACUGUGUACUUGGGAAUAAAUAUACACAUACAUAUUUACGUGUAUAUAUACACAAAAUUUGGUGAUUGUAUCACUAAUACACAAAAGUUAUAAAGUGACUACUUGAAUGAAUUUUGAGUGGCACUCCGGGGGUAUCAAGAGUGAAAAAUAAAAGGCUGAGUACCAAACCAUAGUAGUCAUUCUAGUUUAUCUGUGAAGUGUUAAAAUGUUGCCAUAAUAUGAUAUAGAAAAAUCCCCAACCUUCUUGGAUUUGGAGAGGUCCUUUCAUCUUCCACUAUAGCAGUGGCCCAGGGACACUGCUGGUAUACACCUCUGAAAUAAUUACCUUGUUGGUAGAUUAAUAGUUCAAUUUCUUCUACAGUUUAUAUGCACUCAUAACAAUAGCGCAGAAAAGAAUUGCAUUAUUAUAUACUAGUCACACUUCUUAUAAAAAACAUCAGUACGAUUGUGCAAAGAGCCAUAUGAAGGGAAAACAAAAGAGGUACACUUGGGAGUUGAUUCUCAUCUGGCUGAUGAACAGUCACCAUGUAAGAAAGCUAUGUGCCCCUGUGAGAUUACUUUUAGAAAGCAGACAGAAUAAAGCUACAGACUAAAAUCUGAAAGAUUCUCAUUAUACAUGCAACCGCUUUUUCUUGAACAACCUCAUUGCAAUUCUCUUAUCUAUUUUUAUUUAAAACAUGCAAAUGUAGUGUUGGAUUGAUGAUUGCAUUUAAAAGAGAGAAAAUAAUAUCAGACCCUCAAAGAAAAGAGCUGUGGUUUCAGACUCUGAUUAGGUGCUAGAGAAAAUAAAUAUUUUAAUAAUAAUGAUAAUAAUAAUGAACAACUAACCAAUCACUCUCGUAACAUUAUACAUUUACAUGUAGCAGAAUGUAAUCUGAUUUGCAUGACUUCCAUCUGCCAGUGUCCCGAAUGUUCUACAAGGGCUCUCCAAAAGUAAUGCCUCCUAUUUUAUUAUGUUGGUCCAUAACACUAGAGGUGAAAGUUGGUGGUAUGGCAGUAGAGGUUGAACCUGCCUGCCAAUAUGCUUUUACAUUUUGUUGCCAUGUGACAGAGGGCAGCAGAGGGACACUCUGACAUGGAAGUGUGUAUGAAGAAAAGGUGUCACUGAAUUCCUCCAUGUGGAAAAAAUGGCAACAACUGACAUUCAUGGAUGAACAUUUGAAUUAAAGUGAAUCAAAAUUUGAGUUUCAUAUUUUUAAUUAUUUAGCAUUAUUUUUACUAUGUCUUUGCGCUACUUGAUUUCAGUCAGCAACAAAACUGGAGAAGUAUGAAAAUGUCUAUUUUGGCUUUAGUUCAGACAGUUUACCCUUAAAUCUAUAACAAUUCAUAAACCUAUUUGUUUCCAAAUACAUACUUCUGUCCUUUACUGAUGGAAAAAAAAGGCAGGCAUUCAGACCUUCUUUGGGAAAGAAACAGCGCAUUUCAGUAAUAUUACGUAUGCAAAAAUAAAUCGGUGUAGGAAAAUUUCAGUCAAAAUCUUGUGUAACUUUAAACAAAUUCAUUUCAAUAAUCAAAUAAAUUUGCCUUUUUUUUUUUUUUUUAUACUGCAUAUAUAUCACAUGGACAUGUUUUUUUUUUUUCUUAUUAUCUUAAUUUCUCUAAAUUAAUUCUGUCACCAUUAGGGCUAUUACAUUUUUUUUCAGCAGGUGGAGUGUAGCCUCUUAUAGCCAGCCUAUAUAAUUGUGCUUCUCCAUUAGCAAGGUGCAGAGUUUCUCUGUGCCCUUUUUCUGUAUAUGUUACAGCCACAUAGAGAUGCUCCACUAUCUCAUCAAGUACACUAACCAGUGUGACUUUUGAUGGUUAUGAUAUCAUGUUUUGAUGUAUUUUUGUAAUAUUUGAUGAGAAGUUAUGAACUGUAAGAUAAUAGCUUAUGCAUACUCCAGUUUAUAAUAUCGUUUCCUCCACAAUAAAUCUUUUUAAAGUGGCAUUACAAAAAAAAUAUAAAUGAUAAUCUGUUUAUGAUGAAAAUAUCUGUCUAAUCAUAUACACAUAUCUAUACAUACACUUGACAUGACUUUCAAAUAUGCAUAUGCCAUCAUUUCCCUGUUUUCAGUGGGAUUCUAUCACUUGUUUAUAUUUUGGCACUUGUAGAGGAAUAUCUUUAUUCUAUGAUUUUGCAAUAUUUAAUUUUUCCUUUGCUCCUUGGAUUUGUAGAGAAAAUGAAGAUAGAACAUAAAAAAGAAAACAGAAAAGAAAGAAAAUUAACAUGUGACAAACUGUGUCUUUCCAUUUAGAAAAAUCAGCUUCCAGACAGUGGAAUACAAUGUGAUAACUGUUUAUCAAGUUAAACUGUUUUCUUUUUGUGAAGCGCAAGCCUAAUUACAGAUACCUUCUACAUACGGAUAGCAUUUGCUGAAAUAAUAUUUCUAAUACAUCAAUAUGAUUAAAUAUAAAUAUAAAAUAUGGUUUAAUUUCUAUAUAGUCAUGUAUAUAUAUUUUUUUAAUCCCGCUUUCAGAAAGCAGGCAACGAUUAUGCUGGAAGCUAUCUCCUGGAUGAUCAAAAUGCAGUUCUUACCUACACAAGAAAUAUGCCUCUAGAGUUUUCCAUGAUCUUAGCAAUCCUCAUCAUUAAAUAGCUUGAGGAUUGAUUUUUUUGUUGUUGGUUUUUUUCCUCCCCACAACAUCUAUUAGAAAGCUACUCUAGAAUCUCACCACUCUUAUAGUCAGAAACCUUCCAGUUUCCAGCCUACAUUUAUUUGUGUCCAAAUUACACCUACUUGUUCCUGUGCCAACAUUGUCCAGUAGAGUAAAUAGUUCUUUUCUCUGCCUACUGUUUACCAGCCUAUUGUGUUUUUAGAGGAUAAUUAUUUCCUGUAUCAGCUUUUGUUUCUGCUAUACUAAACAAGUAGAAAUUGUGCUGCUAUUCUCUCAAAAAGACUUCUCCCUAGUAAUUACUGCAGCUCUUUACCUAUUUAAUCUUUCAUGAUCAUGAUGAGAAAAAUCUGUUUGAGAUCCUUCAGGUGCCUUUAACUAAAGUACAGCUGUUUCACCUUUCUCUACAAGAAAUAUUGUAAGUGGCCCGUCCUUGCAUGACAUUUAUUUUCUCAUUGUUGUAUCCCACUGACAACUUAAUAACUACACAGUCACCUAAUACGCAUACCGAGACCUAUCUUCUAUGUUGCUAGCAACUGAUAUGCUUCUAGUUUAUAGUCGUCCUUUUAUUAAUCUUUCUCUUGCCAACAUUACAUGUUUCAAAGAUAGUUUAACUGUGUGUAUUCUCAGUGUACUUCUUCCAAAGGUAUUACAUGUUUUGGAUAAGAUGAUGCCAAACAUAAUAGAAAAAUAUAAAGGAAUAGCAUUGUGAGACAAAGGGAAAUAUCACACUGAAAGCACUGGGAAUGAUCAAGGAAUAAGAAAUUUUUGGAAGUAUGGUGUGAGAGAACAUAGUGGUAUAAAUGCAGAAACUACCUUAGGAAUGUGGUGGUUUUGUUGCUGCUGUUUGUUUGUUUAUCUUAUGUACACAGAGAUGUUUGAAUAUUGUAUUUUAUUUAGCUUGGAGAAAAAAUUCUCAGAUGUACUAGAGCAGGAGAACCCAAUCUCACUUACAGAAUCCCUCAAUGUGGCAUGCAAGGAUUAUGGGGUUUUGCAGCCCAACACCUCCUCAGAGAAGCUGGGGAAAAGCCUUGGGUUUACAUUCACUGCCAAAACAGCUGAACGUCUUUUCUGGUGUGGAACUAAAGCUUAACGCACAGCUUCUGGCUACUGCUUCUACCAUGAUAGUGGUAGACAACUAAAAGAAAACAGUAGUGGUAUCUACAGCAAAGUACUUCUGGUAGUCUCUGUGGUAGACAGGUCUGUAGAGGCAGUAUUAUUCACAAGUCACUUCCUGGAAGGGGUUUGAUGUACCACUGAAAUAUGUUUCUUACAUGACUGUUUCAAAUAAAUUAAUAUUUACUUAUUUGCCUCAAUACUUUUAGAGUUGUUCACAGUAAAAAGCCUUUUGAUGCUAUCUGGUUGUAAAGGCUCCAUCUUAAGGGUCACGCAUUUGAAACAGUAUUUAUACCUAUUAGCUUUUAAAAAACACUGAGAUUUUCAGAAACAUCUUAACGAUUUUGGAGUAUUAGUUCAAGUAUCUGGGAAUUUGGAAACUUCAAAUCCCUAAGAAAAGGAUUUAAAUUUCCUUAUUUUGUCAUGGAAGCCAGGAAUUUUAAACAGCUAUGGUUGUAAAAUUACAGACAGUAGAAGACUUGUGCAUUGUCACACUUUCUAGGAAGAGCUUCUCUAUUUAUUAGAAAGAUGAAGUAGGCUUUUAAGGGAUUUUUUGGAAGGAAAAAGAUAAAUCUUUUAAAAAUGCGUUAUAAUUUGUUUUUUUUUUUUCUUUUUCUUUCCUAAGAGUACUAGGACAAGAAAAUUUAUUCAGAAAGGAAUUAAUUGCUGGCAAGCACAGCUUAAUAGAAUUCUUGCAAAAUCUUUUUGUCAGUUUUAACGUUGAUGAGAAUCUGCCUAUUGGAAUGGGAAUUUGUAUUUAUGCAGGAUUAUUUUCUUAAGUUACUAAAAGGCAGUUCUACUUAAUGUUCCCUCCUUGGCUGUUGCUGCGUAAUACCUUCUUUGAUGUUGAAGUGGUUAAGUGAACAUGUUACAUUUUUGAUGUGUUUCUAGUCAUGUUUUAAUGUGUUGUAUUCUGUUUAGACAAUCCCUGUGGAGCUGAUAGCUGUGGACUAAUGACUGGUAUACCAAGCAGAUAAGCUGUGGACAUUUUUCAGUGUUAACAUAAUGACUUUCAUCAAAGGAGGAAGAAGUCUACUUAUUUUUCAUUUUGUUAAGGAAAGCAAGUUUACUCAUUCUGAAUCAUGCCAAACCGCAUAAUCUGGAAAGGAAUAUUGUGGCUCUACUUGGAAAGUACUAAUUGGGUUUCAGCCAUCACUGGGAAAGUUGUAUAGCCUUUUAUUAUUUUAACUGGCCAAAUGCCCCUUGUUCCCACAUUAACAGCCUCCCUAUGACGCCUGUAACUUUGAUAUUAUUUUCACUUUUACGCUAAAUUUCACCAGAUGAAAGGCACAAAUGCUCCAAUUUCAAAAUAAAAUAAAAUAAAAUAAAUAGCAUGUUUUGUUAAUCCUGUAUUUCAGAGGGAAAGUCUGUGGAAAUGAUAACCUACGUCUACUGGCCAAAGUUUUGUUCAGUGAACCCAUCCUGCCAGCUGUUCUCAUUGGCAAGAGGAAAGAUAAUAUUUUGAUAUUUUUAAUUUCCUCAUUUUAGAGCAGAACUUUUGCUUGUGUCAUCAUUUAAAUCAUGUGUGUUAACAUCAGUCUGGCAGACAAUGCAGCCUUUAUAAAGAGCUGGGUUUGGAAGAUAUCACUGUGAUGUUGCAAUAAGGUUGUUCUAGAGCAUUAAACACAACUUAAGUCACUUACAGACAAGGAAUUGUUGCGGGCUCUCUGCUUUGUACUACUGAAGUACUGCUUUGAAUGUUCUGAGGAGGACACCAAAGCAGAUAUGUAGGAGCAUUUUAGUCAGAUAUAACUGGCCACUGAAGACACAAAAUAUCUCAAAACACUGGUCUCUCACUUGUGUUCAUGUUGUCCUCAUCUCACAAGGCAAAUUGAGAAAGGAUCACCAAAGAGCACCUAAGGUCCACUCCUUGGUGAGUGACAAGGGAUGGCCUCAGGUAGGCAAAAGGAACACUGAUAUUUCUGAGACAAAAAACAGUCACCUAAAGCUUGAAGCUUAACCAACAUACUUCCUAUCCAAAAUGCCCUAUCAUAUCCAAAAUGCAGACAGAACAUGUUCUCCCUUCAUCUUGGGUUCUGGCUGCAAGCUCUAAUUUCUACUAAAUAUUGAAGCCCACACCUUAGCAAAGGCUUAUUUCAGCAUAUCAUAGAAUCAAUUGUUUUGACUUGGAAAGGAUCUUUAAAUGCCACCUGGUCCAAUUCCCCUACAAUGAACAGGGACAUCUAUGGCUAGAUCAGGUUGCUCAGAGCCCCAUCCAGCCUGAUCUUGAAUGUCUUCAAGGAUGAGGCUUCCACCACAUCUCUAGGCAACCUGGCAAUCUGUUCCAGUGUUCCAGUACCCUUCCCAUAAAAAACUUUUUCCUCAUAUCCAGUCUAAAUCUCCCCUUUUUCAGUUUGAAACCGUUCCCCUUGUCCUGUCACAGCAGACCCUGUUAAGAGUCUGUCCCCUUCUUUAUUAUAGUCCCUCAUGAGAUACUGAAAGGACGUUAAAAGAAGAUUUCAUUCAUUUGUGCCUUACAGUAAUUGUAUAAUUACUGUCUUAAAUGCUCUGAGGUGGAUGGUGUUUAUGACCAUUCCAGUGUGUUUCAUAGGGGAACAGCAUAACCUUCCACUGUCCUGAAAUAGAACGGGGCCCUUCCAUUUAUUAAAGUUGUCUUGGGCAAGCCAGCAAAGUCUGUAAUGGCUCUCUUAUAUCACCCUGUGUGCACUUUGUAAUGCGGGGCACAUUUCAAGGAAAAUGGAGAUAGUUCCUACAGUUUGCCUACGUAUUGCUGUUGAAAUAUAUUAUUGCAAAAAUUGAAAAUAAAAAGAUUUUGCAUUUUGUUAGCAAAGCUCAGCCCUGCAACCAUACUAAUAAUACCACAGUUAUACCACAGUUACAACAAGGAUGCAAGUUUGCAUUUAAAUAUAUUUCUCCAGCUUUUGCAGUGUGUGAAUUCAGGAAAAAAAAAAUCAAGUUUUAAUUUCCUCUAGGAACGUAUAAUAAUUUACUGCCUUUUUCUGGCUGUGCUGCCAUUCAGCAAGAUCUAGAUAUGUUGGAGAGUUGAAUGGAGAGGUACCUUUAUGAGCUUCACAAGGGUGAGUGUAAAAUGCUAUACCUGGGGAAUAGAAAUCGUGUGCAGGUUAGGGGCUGACCUGCUGGGAAGGAGGUCUGCUAAGAAGGACCUAGGUGUCCUGAUGGAGAACAGUUGACCAUGAGGCAACAGUGUGCCCUUGUGGGCAAGAAGACCAAUGGUAUCCUGGGGUGCAUUAAAAAGAGUAUGGCCAACAGGACAAGGGAGGUGAUCCUUCCUUUCUAUUCUGCCCUGAAGUCAUAUCUGGAGUACUGUGUCCAGUUCUGGGCUCCUCUGUUCAAGAAAAACAGGGAGCUUAUAGAGAGAGUCCAGCAGAGGGCCACAAAGAUGGUUAGGGACCUGGAACAUCUCCCUUACAAGAAAAGGCUGAGAGACCUUGGGCUGUUCAGCCUGGAAAAGAGACUGAGAGGGUAUCUUAUCAAUGCUUAUAAAGUGCCGGAAGCAAGUGGAAGCCCAGAGACAACAGGUACAAACUGAAACCCAGGAAGUACCUUAUGAACAUGAGAAAAGACUUCUUUACUUUGAGGGUUACAGAGCACUGGAACAGAAUGCCCAGACAGGUUGUGACUUCUCCUCUGGAGAUAUGCAAAACUCACCUUGAUGCUUUCCUGUGCAAUCUACUGUAGGGAAACUGCCUUAAUAGGGGGUUGGACUAGAUGAUCUUCAGAGGUCCUUUCCAACCCCUACAAUUCUAUGGUUCUAUGAUUCUGUGAUUUUCUCCUUCUGGUUAGCAUUCAUUGCUGCAAAUGCAGUUACAAGUCUGUAUCUUAAGUUUUUCUUGCCUACUGAACUGACAGAGCCUUUCAGAGUACUCUCAGACAAGGUCAGUCCAUUAAUCAAGAAUGAAAGUACAAGGGAAAAAUGGCAAAUUCAUUUGGUAGCACUCUUAACAAGUUAUUUUCCUGAAUUUGGAGUUUGUGUGCCCCAUGCAAUAGCCUUCUCAGUUAUUCUACAUGUACUGCAGUUUCACAAAGCUGCUGCAGAUGGACCUUGUCCAGAAGCUUGUUUAGAGUGAAACUGUAAAUUCCAGCCUCCUUGGAAAGCUAACACUGCUGCAUUAGUGCUCCAAAAUACUGCAGGAGGUGGCUGAGAGCCUUGCACACUGUGAUCCCAUGCAGCAGGGCAACUGGGAGGGUACUGUCAGGUACUGAUUGCACUCUGUGGGAUAAGCCAUGGAUGCCCAUCAGCUGCUAGCAGCGAGGAAGCACUUGAACAUUGACCUCUUAUCUUAGAAAAGGCAAAUAUUAAUUGCAACAACUGCACAAAUAACAAAGGUAAGGUGUUAAAAAAAAUAGUAAUAUCUUCCAUCUUUUAACUUUGUUCAGGUAACUUGGAAAUUGUAGAGGCAAGUAUAUCAUUUUAGAUGAAAGGAAGAAAAUUUAGGAAACAAAACAUCCACAGCCAUAUUUCUUGAAAACAAUCAGAAAAGACAUCUGGCAUUAUUUAAGUCUUUCUAUAUUAACAGCUAAAUUUACAGUAAAUUGCAUACGUGAGCAAAACAAAAAAGAAAUCCACUAUGGUAGUGGAAGGAAAGAUAAAAGCUUUCUAAAAUCAGGAGUAGUAAAGACAGGUCACAGAGGGAACGGAAGUUUUUGUAUCACAAUAGACAGUAAACAAGGAGGCAUAAAAUAAUUAGUUAAUUCAAAACAAAUAAAACCAGAAGCGUUGCCUCAUGCAGCAGUUAGGCAACUUUGAAUUUGCUUGUCACAAGAUGUUGAGGUUUACAGAAGCUGACAUGAAUUAAAAAUCUCUUGGACGAACUCAUCCACCAGGACCUACUAAAUGCAAAGAGGCAGCCUCAGACUUAGGAUAUUGUAUCACUGGAAGCUGGGAAGAUAAUGUGGGUAGCUAUCACUGCAAGCUUAUCAUUUUAUUAUAAUCUUCAGUAAUCGUCCACUUUUCACUAUUUGUCCUCAUUUUUGGAGCCAAGAUACUGGGUUAGAUAGGUCUUUUUCAGUCUGAGCUGGGAUGGCCCUUCUUGCAGCCUGAUUUUAAAUAAUUCCUGCAGUUUGUAGAGAAUCUUCUAAGGAUCAAUCUGAACAAUAUGAGUCAGAUAAAGGACACCAAACAGAACUAAGACUAAAAAUGUCAGGAGCAGAUAACUAAGAGAGAAGACUCUGCAAGUAAUAUAAAGAGAAGAUAAAGUAGGAUGAAAUUUUCAUCUAGCCUUUAACUCUUCAAGAAAAAAAAGUGCCACCACACAUGAUAUGAUGGAAAAUUACUCAUCUCUGUAAAAGAAAAAGAAUACUUCUAUCCUUCCAGUGGGUGAAAUUACAAGAAAAUUGAAAUUUGUCCUUAAACAGAAAGAAUUGUAAUUGUCAAAUCACAUAUAUAUCAAGCUCUGCAAGUGGAUGGAUUCAUAGUAAAUGAUGAGUUAAUGAGCAUAUGAAAGUGUAAAAAUCAUAGAACUUCCAGCUUAUUAAAAAAAGAAAAAAACAACCUACUUGAAUUAAUUCUGUAGUUACAUAUGCCCUAUAAAAAGGUAUUGAUCAAGUCAUUCCUCUGUCAUGAAAAAUGACUGAAUGUAAAAUAUUCUUUGAUUCUUCUUAUAUAGGUGAAAUCCUCAUAUUGUAUGGAUUGCUCAGACUUCACCAAAUUCCAUAGAACUACGACAAGUAACAGCAGUUGAUGAUCUACCCAACAUGUGUACCAUGUUGGCCAACACAGCAAAAAUGUAAAUUCUGCCUUGAGGAAAUCACCUUUUUCAAUGAGCUCAUGGAUUGGAUAGCAGUACACGCCCUUUGUCUUUCUUGGGCCUGGGGCAACCCAAAGCCUCUCUGAAUCUGAGUCAGGCAAAGAGGAGUUGUCCCACUGCUGGCACCUGCAAGUGAACGUUGUAAAGUUCAGUUGUCAACUCUUUCUUUAAUGAAAUUCUGAAAGUGUUAUUUACAGUUAAACCCAGUAUUUUCUAAAUUGAGUGUCACCUCUAAUUCUCUAAGGUGACAACAAAGAUAUGAGUGAGCUGCUGUCUGGUGACUUUCCUUUUCCAGGGCCUUCAGAUGUUCUUCUACCUGACAAACAGCUCCAGUGACAUGAUGUUUUCAGGAGGUUCAUCAUUGGCUUCAGUGUACCCAGAUUUCAGAUUCAACUUCUGCUGUCAGAAAUUCUCACAGCACUCUUUUCCAAGAAGGACAGAAAUCUUCUGUUUCCUUUUUCCCAUAUUAUCAACAAAACAUCCGUAAUCACACUUUCUUUUUCUACAUAUUUUCCCAGUAGAAGCUUGAGACUUGAUAUCUCACCUCCAACUGUCUGCUUUCAGUCACUACAACUUCUAGGUCAUGUAACUAAAUUAAAAAAAUAAACUUAUAAUGAAUAAGAAAAGAUUUCUUUGAAAUAAAAUGUAGUAACAUACAAAUAAUUUUUUUGCAUUUUCAACCACUGAAGCAGAACAGUAGUCAUUUAGUGUAUAUCAUAACUUGAGGUAAACCAGUAUUUUUUCAGGACAUAGAAUGAGAGAUAACUUUUCUGUUGUUCCCUAAUGAACUGAAGUCAACAUGCUAGUUUUCUUUCUGUGUUAUCUUGAAAUAAAACAACUACAUAAUAACAGAAGGUUUAUUUUCAUUAUCAUAUGAAAGAGAGACACAAACAUGCAAAAUUUUUUCAUUUUUAAAAAGGAUUAAUUUGUAAAUAUCAAUCUAUAACAUAUAAAAUAAAUAACCCUGCUUGAAAGAAUAGAAAAAGUUUUGUAUUUGUUUAGUUAUUGAGUAGAGAAUCAUGAACAUUUGCAUAAACAGUAGAUUCAGAUUAUCCUUUACCAUUAUUCUUUACUUGCUGGAAUGGAUACCUGGUAAUAAUCAAUCAUACCAGAACUAUAGCUGAUAAUGGAUGAUUAAAGGCUAGGGAACAGAUGUAAAGGGAAAGUAGAACUUUUUUUUUUUUUUUUUUUCCUGAGGUUCUUAUGUGGUUCUGCUUUAUUCCCUUCUACCAAGUUCAACCAAGUUCUGUGUAACAUAAGGGACUAAAUUAGGACUGGAUUUGGACUGUUUCCCAUCCUGUGAAAACAUCCCUUUCUUGAACUGAGAGAAAAAAGAUAUUACAAAUUAAGACCUUGAUAAAGUUUUGGAACUAAAAAUAAUGAUAAUGUCAAAAGAGUCAAUGGCAAUAUUUCUUUUAGGUUAUCUAAGAAUAUUUGGAUUGUACUAGAACUAGUGUAUAUUUUGUAACUAAAAGCCAUUUUUGAGAGAACAAAACCUUUGAAGUGUUAAAAAUGUGUUUUUAUCAAAUUCAGUUUUUCAGUGUUUUGAAAUCUUAUUUGAUCCACUUCCUACCAUGUUUUGGCUUAGACAAAUAGGUGUGUUUUUGGAUGAAAAUCAUUUCAUCUAAAAGUUCCAAGCUACUUUUGCUGUUCACAAUAAACCAUAGAAAUAUCACAGGAAACUUCUGGUAUAUACAGCGUCUUAAUCAGCUGGAAUUUGAAUAAUAUGCAGACACAUAUCUAACUCAUUCCCAAAUGACUAGGAAAUCUGUGUCACAUAUGCUUUUCAAAAAGGGAGUUCUCAAAAAAUUUAAUUAAACAAGAGAAUGAAACACAGCUUGUUCAGUUUGAGGUUGUUCUUUUUUUCUUUCUUUCUUUUCUUUCUUUUUUUUUCUUUCUUUCUUUUUUUUUUUUUUUUUUUGGUAUUUAUUUAAAAUCAUCAUUCCAAUCACUCCAUUUUGUUUCCUAAUGUAUAUAUCUGUUUAAACCCUAUAAGUUCCUUAAAUAAAUUUGAGUUUUCUUUUGUUGGCAUCCCAAGAAUUCAGAUCACUGAGAAAUCUACCUGAGAACUCAAAAGAUGAUUAAGACCAUAGUGGGCAAACACACGUGCUUGACUACACAGGUAUUAGCAUGCAGUCAUCUACAGCACAAAUGUAUGCUUCUAUACCAGUUUCAGGCUCCUAGUUUUCUUUUUUGACCCAGUGGAAGAGCAGAGCUUUACAAAGCAAAUCCUGAAUUUUCACAGGUAAUUUUUCACAGGCCUCCAGGCCUCUUAUAAAAAGCUUAUAUGUUCCCCGUGGGCUCCUUGUGGAAAGCAACAGCAAGCACCAAUGAGCCAAAAUUAUUCCCACCAUUGAAACUCUUUAUAGUGCACAAAGACUAUAAGGUACCUUUGUGCCACAUCUCUUUCAAAUCCAAUUUCUGUUUAAAAAUACAAGCCUGCUUUUGUAAGUGGUUUGUCCAAGGAACAGUGGGAAAUCUUUGCAUUAUCACUAACUGAUUGAUUAUAAAGUCUGAUAGUCCUGUGUUUUCUGAUUCUAAUUAAAGGGAUAUUAUUCAAAUAGAUUACAAAACUUUCCUCCUGGUCAAUAAAGAAUUUUGCUUGUGGCUCUAGACAGAAACAUUAAUGCAUUUCUUGUGCAUAACAAAGUGCUCAUGGCACCAGCAGAGACUUUGACUUCAUACAUAAACACUAUUAACACUUCUUAGUUGCCUUUUAAGGUGGUAGAGCAUGAGGGGCUCUGCCAGAGAGGCUUUAUAAGCUUUAUCAAACCCUACUGUGGCAGUUCAGGGGAUUACCAGCCACAGCUGUCUGCUUUCUGAAGGCAGAAUGCCAGCCCUCAGCUCACUUUGCUGUCCUGACUGUACUGCAGGUGUGAAUACAUUUUGGUCUCCUUAUGAUAUCUGCACACAAAAAAACAAGAGGAAAAAUCAGUGCAUGGAAAAGACAGUCUCCCUCUUCUUGAUCUCUCAGGGUACAGACAGUUACAGUCUAACAAAUCUAUUGGCAAUCAUCUCUGUAUUGACAGAGUUCAGGCUAAGAAUAACUGGAACUUUCUUUGGUUGUUUUUUGUUGUUGUUGUUGUUGUUGUUUGUUUGUUUGUUUUUGUUUUUUUUUUCUUUUUCUUCUUUUCCUUUUUGAGAGGGUGGGGAAUAUCUGAUCCAGUUGUCACACAGACCCAUAAACAAUGUUACAAGGUCAACUGAAAGACAGUAUAGGCUGGGAAUGAGCAGCUGGGGACUGUUCGGAUAGCACUGUCAGUGAAUGGCACUGCUUUCCUGCACUUGCACUCAAUCUGAGUUCGAGCAUUCAGAUAAUCAUCUAUGACAUCUGAGAUACAGGAGCAGUGCCCAGCAGGUGGGCCAGUACCUGCUUAAAUCUAGCCCAAGUCACUGGAAAGGACAUCUGCCUCUGCUCUCAGAUCUGAUGCUUCAGUGGCCCCACCGCAGCUGAGCAGUAAGAACUCUGCCGUGCAUUUAUGAACUGAUAUUUUUAAGAAACUCUUACUGUGAGAUGUAUUUUGAAUAAGUUUUAACUCAUUCAAAAAUGGCCAAAAAAUAAAAAAUAAAAAAAAUCCUGCUGUCAGAUGUGCCAAAUCAUUGCAACACAUGGAGGUACUAGAGCUUCUCAACAAAAAACAGUUGCAGAAAUAUUUUUAAGAUUCCUAAAAGAGCAACAUUUUCUCUUAGCCUUUGUUCAGCAAAAUCAUUUUAUCUGAAGCUUUUCACUCUGGGUCAUGUGCUGCUUUGGGAAAGGAAAGUCUGAAAAUGUUACAGGCACCUGAAAUUUCUGAAGAAUUCUUUUCUGAAGAAAAAAUCUGGGGCACCUGUGCCUAUGUUAUCUUCUAGUCUAAAAAAAACCUUGUCUCUCCUUUCUUCUUCUCUUGCAUCCAACCCCAGACAGUCAUGUUUCUAAGUAGACACUGGGGCUAGCAUACAAUACUAUAAGCAUAUCAAAAUGACUAAUAUGAAAGGGCUGAGUAAAAGGCCUUUAAAAAUAAACCAAAGAUAAAUCAUUAUUUAAGAAUUACUGUUUUGUUUGCUUGUCAUUAGACAUCUGUUCAUAGACACUGCAAAUGUUCCACUGUUUGUCUGGGUUUAAUCGUAACAACUUUGCAGAGGUGCCUUCUUCUUCCUCAUUGUUUUCACUUGGUUUCUAAGGCAAACAAUACCUAUUUUUUUUUCCAGGCCUUUUAAUUAUUUAAAGUUGCUAAAAUGCUAGAACUCAAUAAUUGCAUAGGAUGGAAAUUUAAAUCCAAACCUCAGAAUGUACCAAGUGUGUACAGUACCAGACCUUGUCUUGACCCCUGCCGCUGGUAGCCCCAGGACCUCCCUGCAGUGACUAGGUAUAAUUCAGGUCAGAACUUGACCCAAAAUAUGUAAAGCUAGCCCUCCCCUUCCUCCCUUCUCCCAGUCAGCUGCUCCCAUUUCCAGACCACAAAUAGUGUACUGAAUCCAAAUUGUUUACUUUGCUGGGAAUGCCAUCUGUGUGUUGGCAGCUGGGGUGGGAGGGAAGGCACACACACUGAACAACAGCGAUAAAUACAGACAGUGGACUAAAUUAGGAGUUCUGCUGCUUUCCAGUGCUCUGCAUCCUUGCGUGCUUCCAUUAAGUGGAUACAGUUCUUCUUAAACAGAUACUGAACAUCCAGAUUAUUCAGCAAGAGAUCAAAUUCAGAACAUUUGAAGAGAUAUAGAAAUAAGCCAAUCUGGGUAAAUACUAAGACUACUGAAAAGGUUUAUGUCAUUUAUGGCUAAAUUCACUUAACAUCUUACAGUACACUGGAACCAGCAAGGGGAAAUAAAAACAACAGUAAAUACUAUCAAAAUGAGUACGUUGUAAGUCAUCCAAAAUGAAAAAUCAGAGAAGAUCUGGUGAGAAAGUUUCUCAUAGACCAAAGAUAAAGUCAAUAACCACUUAAUUGGCAACUGAUUCUGAAUUCUGAAGAGGAAUUGCUGGCAUAACAUCUAAAUUUCCCAUUUAAAAGGUCUUACAUUUGAACAAUUCACUAUAUUACAGAAAGGAUAAUUCAGUAGUUAAAAGCUCAUCUUAAAGUAUAUGUGUAUACAAAGUGUAUCUGUAAAUGUGAUGGCAGGGGAAAAUUUAAAGAUUAAAAUUUUGCUCAUAUUUCUUCACUAACAGCUUGACAACAGCAACAUGUCUACACAGAAUCCUAGAAUGCCUGAGGUGGGAAAGGACCCUUGAAAAUAGUCAAGUCAUACUACUCUGCUCAAAGUAGGGUCCAUGAGGGUUGCUCAGCACCAUGCCCAGCUGGGUUUUGAAUAUCUCCAAAGACACAGAAGCCACAGCCACUCUGUUGUCUUACUCUUGGAAUUGUCUAAAAUACAUGAAACUUAAGAACAAUCAAUAACAAGAAGUGAGCUCAGUCCUUCAGCAAAUCUACAGCUGCAGUCCUGAAGAAAUUAAAUGACAAAGAAAUGGUUUAACACCCCUUAAUUUAUGAAAGUUGGAUUUACGUCACUAACUUGAUUUACCUUAGCUUACUUUGUGUAAUGCAAAAAUGACAGCUCUUUUGUGUAAGGUUUACCCAUCCUGAAGAGAGUACAUGGAGGCAAGAAGUUAACUUUCAUCAGUUUGAUAGAGAGGUCCUCAUGUUACCAGGGGGGCUGGCUGGUGGACACUCCCCCAAGUCCUCAUUACUGGUGGCGGCUGGCUGAUAGAAUGUCUACACUGGGAUUACCUCCAACAGGUUCUGGUGGUGACUCGCUGACAAGAAUUCCACACAACCCACUGGUAGCAUGGCCAUACAUAUAAAUGCAGGAGACAAUAAAGUAUGGUGUAUUAGGAUAAGCAGAGUCAUGGGCAGAAAGCAAGGAUACUUAGUUACUACAGAGAAGUAUUUCUCAAGGGAGUUUCUUCUAGCUGCAUCCAGAAUCUAGAGGCAGUUCACUUGUGUUCCCAAGCCAGCAAGAGCUCUUUCUCAUGGGCUAGUCGCCUGUCCAGGCCGUAUUCAUCUGUAUUUUUCCACAAACUUGGCUACUCUUAUUUAGAAUUGACUGGAAACAGGUUUCCUACUUCAGUUUUCCAACAGCAAGACAUAAAGAAUAAGGAAGGACACGUCCUAUUGGUAAGCAUUUUAACAAUUUGGCUGACAUUGGUCCACUAGAAAAGGCUAUGUAAUCAAAAAUGUACAAUCGCAUUCACAUCAGCUAUAAUAGGCUUGUCACUGUAUCUGCCCUUCGGAUUUCCUAAAAUGUGCUGCACUAAUGUUUGACUGUAAUGUAAGGUAAGAUUUUCUCUGCUGUGACAAUGCAUAGGCUUGAAGAUCUUGUAUUUUCAUGUAAGAGUUAAAUCUUUCAAAACUGAUACCCCAGAUCCAGAGGUAUUAGGAAAGUGAGGAAGAAAUGUCUUGGUUCAGAAAUGGGUUCCUAAUGCCUAUAGAGAUAGCUGAUAGUUGUUCACAAAUGAUCAAAUCAUAAAUGUUGGUUAGUUUAAAAACUCUCUAAAGUGUUAGAGUAAUUUUUUAGUAUUUUUAUUUGAAAUACAGGCCACAAAUAGAUUUCCGUAUAUUUUAGAGGCUGAGACUAUCCCAAAUAUACGAUAUAUGGGAGAUACUCUAAAGUGAUUCACCUAAAUACCGUGGGCCAAGUUUCUGGUCUUAAUGGAGAACUUCUCUUUGUUCUCUGCAGCUUACCUUGGUAAUUUCUUCCAAUUUUAUUAAUAUCUUCUUAGAAUUAUUCCUUAAGGAAGAACCUUGAACUGCAGAUCACCUGCAAUGAACAAAAUUCUUUACCAGCCACAGUGAGAUUCACAAAACAGCAAAAACAGCACAGAACAGCAUAAGCAGAUUAUUCUGAUACAUUAGAAAUAUUGAAUUUCAUUGCUUUGUAUAUAUUUUAACAGAAAAUUUUAAAGUCCUGAGUUAGCACCUGAAUUCCAUUUGAAUAACUUUGCCUCAAAAACCUCAUGUUAUUACCUUGAGACUUAAGACCACCAUCACCACUGAAAUUUUUGAAUUAUUCAGAAAAAUUGAUUGGGUUUUGGUCUGUUUAAAGUCACUGAAGAAAAUGGGAAAGAAAAACAGGUACUUAUACAAAUUCUACAAUCACCUCAAUUUUGUAAUUCCAAAUUUGCAGCACAAGAUCUACAUGACAAAGCAGGAACACUACCUUAAAGCCUUGUUUUCUUGUUUUCCCUGUUCCUUGUUUUCUUUGGCACAAAAGCUUUGUUCAUCAGUAGUCAUACACUUUCAUAUGUACUGGUGUUUGUAGACUUUUAAAAAAUAAGUACUAUUCCUCAGUUUUCUUGUUAAAUAAAUAUUUUCCCAUUCUAAAAUGAAGCAAGGAUUGAAUUGGCUAGCUAGUUUAAGAAGUGAGCAGAUUUGGUAACAAAGCAAGUCACUGAAAUGGCCACAGAGAUUUUCAUGGUGGUCUUAAUGGACUUUGAACAUCUCUCCUGGAAGAACCCCUUUUUCAUGGUCCAGUUUCUGUCUCAGUCAUCAAAAGUUACUUCUAAUUAAAAUACUGUAUCUAGUGGUUUACCAGGAGAAUAAAACAGAAAAUUCCAAUUUUUGUUCCGAAGAACAAAUGUGUGUUUGACAUUUUUGGAGUAACAUUAUAGCACUGCUUCUUAUGUAAGUUUUCCUCCUUCACACAAUUUUCUCUUCUGAAGGAAAAUGAAGCAUUUGUUUUUUGUUGUAAAAAGCGAUUCUUGAAAGAGUUAACAACAAACAAAAGCUUUUCUUGCAAUUUGAAAGAUCUUGGUGACAUGUCAUUUUUCCAGAAAAAAAGUCUGCAAUAGCUCAGGAUUUCCAUGAGUAGUCUGGAUUUCGUGGGAGGAAAGAUGAUGGCAGGAAGUAACUGAGUACAUCUACAGCUGAUUGUCUCAACCUUCCUGGCUCUGAACUAUGUGUGCUAAGUGCUGCCCUAUGUGCAUUUUCAUACAAAGCAGUUUCUUGAAUUAAUAGAAUACAGCAGAAAGGGAUUUGAACUUCCACUCAUCCUGCUACCACUGAUGUGCACCGUAAUUGCCGGGCACAGACAACACAGUCUACUUGUCUCUAUUUUCUUCCUUCGUGAGUCAGAGAGAAUACAAUGAGCGAGCAGUAGUUAGAAUUGGUCAGAUUAGUAAAUGAAUAAGCUAUUUAGUGUAAUGAAUAAAGCAUUAUUCAAAGUCUGCUUUUUAAAUACCCUUUUCCUCAGCUCAGUGAGCCUUGAAAAAAGGCAUAUCAGAAACUAGACAUUACUAGACAUUACUUCCAAGCUGAAUUUACCCCUUUACAAGGGGUCACCGUUUACAGAAAAAGCAGAUCAAUACAUUGAAAAGGGUAACAGUAUGAAUGACUGCGAGAAAAGUAGAGAAACAAAAUCUGUGGUUCACAUGUGUUGCUCUGUUGUGCUCAUGGGUGAGCAUUCACAUGAGAAGAGAUGCCUUUAUUUUGCCCACUAAAAUUCUCCUUAUGUUUUCUUUCCAG
ensembl:lncRNA